UACGUAGGGGGCAAGCGUUGUCCGGAAUCAUUGGGCGUAAAGCGCGUGUAGGCGGCUCGGUAAGUCCGCUCUGAAAGUCCGGGGCUCAACCCCGGGGAGGCGGGUGGAUACUGUCGAGCUCGAGUCCGGAAGAGGCGAGUGGAAUUCCUGGUGUAGCGGUGAAAUGCGCAGAUAUCAGGAGGAACACCGAUGGCGAAGGCAGUGAUCUGGGCCGGUACUGACGCUGAGGAGCGAAAGCGUGGGUAGCAAACAGG
rnacentral:rRNA from 1 species